CGGUAGCCUGACCCGCCGCCGCUUCCCCGCACUGGAGCCCCGCCCGGCGUGGCGGUUCGUGGGGGAGGGCCCGGAAGGAGGCGGUGCUGACCCUCGGGGGACUGGGCCGGGCGAAAGGCGUGACCUCCCCCUCGGGGAGAAUUGGAAAAUAGAGGGAAAGUGGAGGAAACACCCACAGUUGCACCACCUGAACAUAAUUUUCCACGUGUGUUCAUUCCCUUCAGGUAUGUUAUCAUAGGUAUGUUUUAUAUUUAGUUUCAUUCAUUCAUUCAACAAGUGUUAAUAAACACCUUCCGUACCAGGCACUGUCUAGUGAACAGAACAAACCCAAACAUUCUGCCUUCAUGGAGUAUAAAUUCUAGCAGAUAAUUGUGUAUACGUUUUUAAUUUGUAAGCAUAGUCAGUGAUGGUACUUUUCAAUUCCUGAUUCACACUACAUGUUUUCCAUGUUACUGCAGACUUGUCAUAAUGAUAAUUUUUAAUCGAUGGAUUGUUUCUUCAGUUAGGGAUGAUUUCCUUAACCGCUGUCAUCUGAUUGCUUCCAGUUUGUGGAUCCUAUGCAUAAUCUUUAACACACCAUUUUAGGUCUUUUCCUGGAAGUGAGAUUCCUAAGCCACACCACCUUGUUUUUACAAAUAUAAGAAGAUGAAUAAUAAUAAAAUUUGGGGAAGACAGUAUCUGCCUCUGGAGAUGGACUUGUCAUGUUAACAGGAGGAAUAGAGCUGCCACCUUCCUCAGUUCAAAAUGGUCCCAGGAAAAGGUGGUGACAGUUUAAGUGGGAUUUUAUUCAUUCUUUGACAGGUAUUUACUGAGUGCCUGUUGUGUGCUUAACAGUGUUCUGUUAUGAGGGUGAACAGACAAAGUCUCUGCCAAAAUGGAGCUUUGUGUAAUUGGGGGGACUUAAAUUCUAUGUAGAAAAGAAAAACCCAGUCACUAAAUUCUCAUUGGAAAGAAACUUAAAAAUACAUUUCCUUAAGAGUCAAAACACAUUUACAGCUCUCGUGAAUACUUAUCCCAUAGUAAUGAGAUGGUCCUGGCCUUACAGAUCUUGAAUUUAAAUGGUUUGUUUGUGUCUUUGAACAAAGUCAGUUAAGAGAAAUGUACAAAUAAAAGUUUUUGUUAGUGCCUAGUUGGUAGUGUAACCUUAGGCCCAACCAGAGAAGCUGAUCCUGAAAAAUGAUUGGAGAAAAAAAUUGUUUCAUUUACACUCUUGCCCUGAGUUUAUCUCUUUAAAAACAGCUCUCCUGAGGCAUAAUUGACAUACAGUAAACUGCACAUAUUUAAAUUAUACAAUUUUAUAAGUUUGACAUAUGUACAUACCCAUGAAACCAUCAGCACAAUUAAGAUAAUGAAUAUAUCCAGUGCACUAGCUAGAGUAAUCUUAGAUUAUAAAGUAAAAGUGACUGCUGAUUACAGUUGGGAUUUUUCACAUAAUCUUUUUUUUUUUGCAACACAAGUCAAUCUUUAUUGAAAAUUGCAGUAUUAAUACAUAACAAUUCUUGUUAAAAUAAACGUGCUUUUAAGCAUUUUAAGUCUGAGCUUAUCUACUCAUCAGAUUGCAUAAAAAAAUAGCAUGAAUUUACACAUAAUGUAAUUGGCUCAGGAUGGAUGUUCCUUUGUAUUGAUUGACACCUGGAGUUCAGUGCAGAGGUGAGGGGUGCGUUUAACACUGGAAGACAAUGCUGGCUUAAGUUUUAAAAAAGUACUAUGAGAAUGGUCUAAAAAAAAAAAGCGGUAUUCAAAAAUCAUUAAAAAAAAAAAAAAAAAAGAACCAUUUCCUAGUCAGUAACAAUGGCUCCCUGGGGUCUCUCUUGAGUGGCCAUCACAGUAACCCCACCAGGAACACAUGAGAGCUGGCCUCAGGUCCAGCCCAAUUAUUCUACUGACUACUGGUCUCCACGAGGAGCUAUAGGAGACUCCAGUAGGGCUCAGGAGACCAAGAUAAGACACUUGUCAUCUCCAGCACACCAAUCCUGGGAGCAUAGCAUCCCCUGAAGCUCACUGCAGGCUCCCUGCACAGAGAUGGCAGCCUCUCCUUGGUCUCCCUGUCCCAAGUGACUUGACAUUGGUCCUGGGGAUUCAAAUAAGAUUACUCCAGAGGUUUUCUGUUCUUCAAGUGAAUAGGGUGGGAAAAGAGGCAAAUCCUCUGAAACAUGUAAGAUCAACUCUGCAACUUUCUAUCUGAAAAGAUCAGACCCUCCUCUGCAGCGUGUCCUCUGCAGGCUCCUUUCAGAAAGCUCAGGUUGAGCAAUAAACAGCUCAGGAGAAAAAAAACACACCAUCAUUUGAAACGUACUAGAGAGGAGAGUCACACAGUCCACCCUUCCCCUAUGCCAACCACUCCUUUCUAGAGACACACCCCGUCCUUAGAAAGCACCAAGAGAAGAGCCAGAAGCUGUACCCCACCUCAAGCCGCACACCCUUAAGCCUGCCCUUGCACGGCCAGAGGAUGUCAGACAGGCGUCCUGUCCCAUCUGGGCAAUGCCCAGGCUGGCAAGAACUGGGGCGUCCAGCUGUUAGCUGCCAGAUAGGGAGAAGGUGACCCAACUGGUCGGAGUAAUACUCUUUCCAAAUGUUUACAAAGGACAGGUGAAGAAUUCUGAGUUUCCUUCUUAAAAAGCAGGCCCCAAUACUGAUGCAUCUGGUGCCUGCCAUCCUUUCUCCACCUGCUGGCAGGACAGCACUACCAGAGAUUAGUAUAUCCCAAGCCCCAAGAAUCUAUUUCCUCUUGUUUGAAGUGCCGAUGCCAGCAGAUGGAGUGAGGCACUGCAUGCCCAGCUUGGGAAGGGCAGGGCGAGUACCAAGUACCAACCAGGUGUCCAGCCCAUGGCCCAGGACCACCCUCAGCUCCUGUAAAUACUACAUUUGCAUAGCACUCAAGAAACAGAGUCAUAUAAUACAACUGGUAGGCCUAAUAACCAACAAGAAUGUUGAGAAAAGAUCAAACACAAGAGACAAAAGAUUCUGGAAGCGCUUCUGUGCUUAUCACCACGAUGGCCCUGGCCCUGAUGCUGGCCUCAGUUCUCAGAGGCAGCAAGCUGAUGGGACCAUCACUCAUCGUGAAACGUUCAGUCACCUGGCCCAGAUCCAAACAGUGUUUCCCUAAGCAGAGAAACAUACCUUCUAAACCUUAGGGGAAGGCUGUAGAACAAAAUUUUUUAAAAAUGUCCAUGAUGAUAUCUAUGUUUAUAGGAAUUAGUUCCUUUAUUUGCCUGUCUCAGCUUCUAAAAUAACUGUAAUUUAGCUGAAAGACUCUCAAAUUAGGAAUGUCACAUAUAAAAAAUGCAAAAAUUCUCUGUAUGUUCUACUAUUGUGCUUAGGAUAUCAAAUUAUGCAACUUUAUAACAGAAGCUGUAUUCCUUAAUUUUACUGGAACUAAAUGCUGCUAAAAUUACAACAUAUGAUAGUUUUGUUACUAUUCAUUAUAUCCAGAUUCUUACCUGCUAGACAAGAUCUACCUUUCACAUUGAUAACUGAUGCCCCGAUAGUUUCAAAAUUGAAAAGAUCUCCACAGAGAUGUAUUCCAUAAUGCAAAAGUAUUUGAUGAAGUCUCCCAACUCAACUUCACAAAAGGGAAACAAGAUUUUUUUAGAAAUUACAGGGGGGAAAGUGUUUAUAAAGCUGAUAUAAAUGGGGAGAAAACGCAACCCACUCUUUUCUUUCUCUUGAAAACACCAUUUAAUUCAGUGCUCGUGAAAACAUUCACCCUGUGUGUGCCAAGUCUCAGGCAAGCUGGAAGAAACAGCCUAUAUAAUUUCUCAUAACUUCCUCCUGAAUUCAAAUGACUCCAACCCUUGCAGGUAGUCGCAUGUGUGUAUCUGUUUAUGUGCACUCUGUUUGGGACUUUUAAAAAACAUAUACUAAAAUCAUAUUUUCUCCUAACUUAUUACACUAAACUGGGGAAACCGCUUCUCUGUUACUGGAUCAGUUCAGGCCCUGGAGAACAUAUCGAUAUUACAAACCGCCCACUACACAGGUGGAAUUACCAACAAAGAGUUGAAGAAGUGGCCACUGUGUCUGGGGUAAAUGGCUGCCACACACACACACAUACACACACACACACACACACACACACGAGUACACACAAAGGUAGGUUAAGUGCUCUUGAAGCAAUUUAAAGUACUUAUUAGUAAACACACUAUGUUAUAGACAUUAGAAAUAAAUCUUCUGUUUACAAUGAUCCAUGCAAAGAUAUUCCUAAAUUUCUUAUAAAAUAAGAUGCGAAAAAUAAAAUUAUGAAGAGUACUCACUAUAAAAAAUAAGGUUACCAAAGACUCAGGGGUCAGGUAUCCCACUCACCAUCCGGGGCUGAAUGCCACCCCAGUGCCGGAGCCCUGACCAGCUGCCGGAGCCGUAAGGAGAGUAAGAUGCCCUCCCCACCUGAGGCCCACAGCUCUUGAAAUGACGUUGGGGUGACAGACCGCUGACAGACCGCUGAAAGGGAACAACCCUCACCCCCCACCCCCUCUGACUUCAUCUGAGGACAGACCCACACACACACCCAUCAAUACAAGUUGGGCACAUUUAGGCAAAAAAUCCUCUUGGUUUCUUAUGUACAAUAUUCAGAUUUUAAACACAGAAUCCUUUCUGUAAUAAGUUCUGGCAGGCAAACACGUUCUAAUGCUGCCUGGCCCUUUGCUGUCCACACGUGCUUUGUGCUGAGUGUCCCCAGCCGCAAGAAGAUAUGGCCAAAGGGGCUCACAGACAACAGGUGCCAGCCCUUUCCUCACACCUCCCCACAGCCAUCUCCACGAGCGCCCUCCAGAUGGUCUCAGAGGACAAGUCCCCAUCGAGUGCAUGGGCCGAAACACAGCCACAGCCCUGCCUCUCUACAAGGAACAAUCAAUAUCCAAUAAAGUUUUGUUCCCUUUUAAAA